rnacentral:rRNA from 1 species
GACGAACGCUGGCGGCGUGCUUAACACAUGCAAGUCGAACGAUGAAGCUGGAGCUUGCUCUGGUGGAUUAGUGGCGAACGGGUGAGUAACACGUGAGUAACCUGCCCUGGACUCUGGGAUAACCCCGAGAAAUCGGAGCUAAUACCGGAUAGGACCUUGGAUCGCAUGAUCUGGGGUGGAAAGUUUUUCGGUCUGGGAUGGACUCGCGGCCUAUCAGCUUGUUGGUGAGGUAAUGGCUCACCAAGGCGUCGACGGGUAGCCGGCCUGAGAGGGUGACCGGCCACACUGGGACUGGGACACGGCACAGACUCCUACGGGAGGCAGCAGUGGGGAAUAUUGCACAGUGGGCGCAAGCCUGAUGCAGCAACGCCGCGUGCGGGAUGACGGCCUUCGGGUUGUAAACCGCUUUUAGUAAGGAAGAAGCCGCAAGGUGACGGUACUUGCAGAAAAAGGACCGGCCAACUACGUGCCAGCCGCCGCGGUAAAAC